GAGGUCAGACUCUAAAUGUAUGUUUUAAUUUCCUUGUUUCAUCCAGCUCCUCUCAGAGUUUCCACUUGAUCUAUCUGAAUUCAUAUUAAUUUCAAAGUGACUCUUAAUUUACUAUUCAUAUUAUUUUCUGCAGGUUAAAUGUCGCAUUUGUUCAGUAGAACUUUCCUAUU